CCUACGGGUGGCUGCAGUGGGGAAUAUUGGACAAUGGGGGCAACCCUGAUCCAGCCAUGCCGCGUGUGUGAAGAAGGCCCUCGGGUUGUAAAGCACUUUCAGUGAGGAAGAACGCCUGGUGGUUAAUACCCAUCAGGAAAGACAUCACUCACAGACGAAGCACCGGCUAACUCCGUGCCAGCAGCCGCGGUAAUACGGAGGGUGCGAGCGUUAAUCGGAAUUACUGGGCGUAAAGCGCGCGUAGGUGGCUUGAUAAGCCGGUUGUGAAAGCCCCGGGCUCAACCUGGGAACGGCAUCCGGAACUGUCAAGCUAGAGUGCAGGAGAGGAAGGUAGAAUUCCCGGUGUAGCGGUGAAAUGCGUAGAGAUCGGGAGGAAUACCAGUGGCGAAGGCGGCCUUCUGGACUGACACUGACACUGAGGUGCGAAAGCGUGGGUAGCAAACAGGAUUAGAUACCCUAGUAGUC
rnacentral:rRNA from 1 species